AUGAGUUUGCUAGCAUGGAACUGCCGGGGUGGGGGAAAUCGCCGGACAAUUCGGGAGGUUGUGGCCCUCUCAAAAGCCACUUCCCCAAGCUUUGUUUUCCUUAGCGAGACAAGGCAGGAUGUUGUAAAGAUGGAGAGGUUAAAGUGGAGAAUCGGUUUGAAGGGUUUUGCAUGUGUUGCUAGUGAUGGUCGUAGUGGGGGCUUGGCCCUAUACUGGGAUGAAAGUUUGCAAGUUAUAGUUCAAGACUCUUGUGCAAGAUAUAUUGACGUUCAGUUUGUGGAUAUGGAAAAUGAUCAAACCUAGAGAGCCACCUUUGUUUAUGGAGAACAACGCGUCGAGAACCGUCAUCGUAUGUGGGAUCACAUUGCUAAUCUCAGGGCGAUAUCGACAGAGCCAUGGAUUGUGUGCGGAGACUUUAAUGAGGCGAUGUGGCAGCACGAACACUUUUCACGGAUGACAUGUGUGGAAAGUCAGAUAGCAUUGUUCCGGGACUGUUUGAUAGUGUGUGAACUUGAGGAUUUGGGUUUCUCUGGUGCUCCAUUCACGUACGACAAUGGGCAGCAGGGCGACAGAAACGUUCGAGUUCGGUUAGACCAAGCGUGCGCGGAUGAGAAGUGGAGGGGGCUGUUUCCGGACGCGCGGGUGGUGCACUUGGCUACCUCUUGUUCCGAUCAUAGCCCUAUGCAAAUUAAGCUGGACAAGGAUGUUACCAAGUGCUUUCGGCCCUUCCCGCGUUACGAGAUAAUGUGGGAAAGGGACCCGGCUUUGUCUGGGCUGGUUGCUAAACUAUCAUUCUUAAGAAGUUGCUCCUCACUACUUCCUAUUCUCUCAUCAUGCACACUAUCCACAUCAGCGAUGUGA
rnacentral:rRNA from 1 species